rnacentral:rRNA from 1 species
AUUGAACGCUGGCGGCAGGCUUUACACAUGCAAGUCGGACGAGUGGCGUACGGGUGAGUAAUAUAUUGGAACGUACCGAGUAAAGGGGGAUAACAAAUCGAAAGAUUGGCUAAUACCGCCUAUUAUUCGAGAGGCCAAUAUCUGAUUAGCUAGUUGGUGGGGUAAAGGCCUACCAAGGCGACGAUCAGUAGCGGGUCUGAGAGGAUGAACAGCCACACGGGGACUGAGACACGGCCCAGACUCCUACGGGAGGCAGCAGUGGGGAAUUUUGGACAAUGGGCGCAAGCCUGAUCCAGCCAUGCCGCGUGUCUGAAGAAGGCCUUCGGGUUGUAAAGGACUUUCAUCAGGGAAGCGGUACCUAAAGAAGAAGCACCGGCUAACUCCGUGCCAGCAGCCGCGGUAAUUC